UGAAGGUACAGCUUUGGUAAAACAGGCUGAAGAUGCUGCUAGCAAUAAAAAGGCAGAGAAGAGAGAUGUGGUUGGUUUGCAGGAACAGGUUUUUGUUCGGAAAGUGAUUGAACUUCAUGAUAAAUAUUUGGCUUAUGUGAAUAACUGUUUCCAAAACCACACACUUUUUCACAAGGCGCUUAAAGAAGCUUUUGAGCUUUUCUGCAACAAGGGUGUUGCUGGUAGCUCAAGCGCUGAACUUCUUGCCACCUUCUGUGACAACAUUCUCAAAAAAGGCGGGAGUGAGAAAUUGAGUGAUGAAGCUAUUGAAGAAACGUUGGAAAAGGUGGUAAAGCUACUAGCUUAUAUUAGUGAUAAGGACUUGUUUGCAGAAUUCUAUAGGAAAAAGCUAGCCCGGCGGUUGUUAUUUGAUAAGAGUGCCAAUGAUGAACAUGAAAGAAGUAUCCUAACAAAGUUGAAGCAGCAGUGUGGGGGGCAGUUCACAUCAAAGAUGGAGGGAAUGGUCACAGAUUUGACAUUGGCAAGGGAAAAUCAAGCCAGCUUCGAGGAGUAUUUGAGCAAUAAUCCAAUAGCAAAUCCAGGAAUUGACUUGACGGUGACUGUCUUGACUACUGGCUUCUGGCCUAGCUACAAGUCUUUUGAUCUCAACCUCCCAGCAGAAAUGGUUAGGUGCGUUGAAGUAUUUAAGGAGUUCUAUCAAACAAAAACAAAGCACAGGAAACUUACGUGGAUAUACUCUUUGGGAACUUGCAACAUAAAUGGAAAAUUUGAGCCAAAAACUAUUGAGCUCGUUGUCACUACUUAUCAGGCUUCUGCUCUGCUGCUCUUUAAUGCAUCAGAUAGAUUGAGUUAUCAGGAAAUCAUGACGCAAUUAAACCUAUCAGAUGAUGAUGUUGUUCGGCUUCUUCAUUCCCUUUCAUGUGCGAAGUACAAGAUACUCAACAAGGAGCCAAGCACCAAAACAAUUUCUCCGACUGAUGUCUUUGAGUUCAACUCAAAGUUCACUGACAAAAUGAGGAGGAUCAAGAUACCUCUCCCUCCUGUUGAUGAGAAGAAAAAGGUAAUUGAAGACGUUGACAAGGAUAGGCGGUAUGCUAUAGAUGCUUCAAUUGUGCGUAUUAUGAAGAGCCGUAAAGUAUUGGGCUACCAGCAACUAGUCAUGGAGUGCGUUGAGCAGUUGGGGCGCAUGUUCAAGCCUGAUGUCAAAGCUAUCAAGAAGAGAAUCGAAGAUUUGAUAACUAGAGAUUACCUAGAGAGGGACAAAGAUAAUCCAAACCUGUUCAAGUACUUGGCAUGAUUAUUGCAGAUCAUAGUGAAUGAGUGAUGUUUAUAUGAACUUUUGCAAUCGACAUAGGAGGAGAAACAUGCUACCCGAGAUGAAGACAUAUUUCUGUAACUCCUCCUACCUCCCUGGACCUUGGAUUGCCUUGCACCAGGAGCUUGAAACAUUUUGUACAAAUGGUUAAGAUCUCAGGAAAAAGUAGAAUUGCCUCUCAGAUACUUGAGAUGCGAUUGCCUUAACUUCUUCCAAUCCUAUAUGGCCCUUUAGCUUGCUCUACUAUGUGUUUUGUCGGCUACCUGUUCGAGUUCAAGUAAAUGUAAUAUUCUACUCAACAGCAUCUUAUAAUACAUUCUCUACAACCCUACUUCCUUGGUUCUUUGUAGAUUGUGAUUUGGACCUUGGUGGUCUUGAUGGGGC
rnacentral:misc_RNA from 1 species